CCUACGGGAGGCAGCAGUGAGGAAUAUUGGUCAAUGGCCGGAAGGCUGAACCAGCCAUGCCGCGUGAAGGUCAGUGCCCUAUGGGCGUUAAACUUCUUUUGUGCGGGAGCAAUAAUGGUCACGUGUGGCCAGACGAGAGUACCGCACGAAUAAGCAUCGGCUCACUCCGUGCCAGCAGCCGCGGUAAUACGGGGGAUGCAAGCGUUAUCCGGAUUUAUUGGGUUGAAAGGGUGCGUAGGCUGGGAGGUAAGUCAGCGGUGAAAUGCCCCCGCUCAACGGGGUGAAGUGCCAUUGAUACUGGCUGGCUGGAAUGCGGAUGCGGUGGGAGGAAUGUGUGGUGUAGCGGUGAAAUGCAUAGAUAUCACACAGAACACCGAUUGCGAAGGCAUCUCACGAAUCCGCGAUUGACGCUGAUGCACGAAAGCGUGGGUAUCAAACAGGAUUAGAUACCCCUGUAGUC
rnacentral:rRNA from 1 species